CUACGGGUGGCUGCAGUAGGGAAUAUUGGACAAUGGGCGAAAGCCUGAUCCAGCAACACCGCGUGCACGAUGACGGCCUUCGGGUUGUAAAGUGCUUUUAGAGGAGAUGAGAAAGGACAGUAUCCUCUGAAUAAGCCUCGGCGAACUACGUGCCAGCAGCCGCGGUAAAACGUAGGAGGCAAGCGUUAUCCGGAUUUAUUGGGCGUAAAGCGCGUGCAGGCGGUCUAGCAAGUUGGAUGUGAAAGCUCCCGGCUCAACUGGGAGAGGUCGUUCAAUACUGUUAGACUAGAGAAUAGGAGAGGGAGGUGGAAUUCCGGGUGUAGUGGUGAAAUGCGUAGAUAUCCGGAGGAACACCAGUGGCGAAAGCGGCCUCCUGGACUAUUUCUGACGCUAAGACGCGAAAGCUAGGGUAGCAAACGGGAUUAGAUACCCAGUAGUC
rnacentral:rRNA from 1 species